rnacentral:rRNA from 1 species
GACGAAGGGGGCUAGCGUUGUUCGGAAUUACUGGGCGUAAAGCGUGCGCAGGCGGUUCGUCGUGUCCGAUGUGAAAGCCCCGGGCUCAACCUGGGAAUGGCAUUGGAAACUGGCGGGCUUGAGUGCGGCAGAGGGGGGUGGAAUUCCGCGUGUAGCAGUGAAAUGCGUAGAGAUGCGGAGGAACACCGAUGGCGAAGGCAGCCCCCUGGGCUGACACUGACGCUCAGGCACGAAAGCGUGGGGAGCAAACAGG